rfam:Schistosoma margrebowiei strain Zambia genome assembly, scaffold: SMRZ_contig0000409
AUCCAGCUGAUGUGUCCUAAAUAGGAAGAAAUGUGCAUCCUGUAU